ACGGGAGGCAGCAGUAGGGAAUAUUGCACAAUGGGGGAAACCCUGAUGCAGCAACGCCACGUGUGGGAAGAAGCAUUUCGGUGUGUAAACCACUGUCGUGAGGGAAUAAUGCUUAAUUUCGGUUAAGUUGAAUGUACCUCGAAAGGAAGCACCGGCAAACUUCGUGCCAGCAGCCGCGGUAAUACGAGGGGUGCAAGCGUUGUUCGGAAUCACUGGGCGUAAAGGGAGCGCAGGCGGAGAUGCAAGCAGUCUGUACAAUACCGGGGCCCAACCCCGGACCUGCAGACUGGACUGUUUCUCUUGGAUAGUUCAGGGGCAAGCGGAAUUCCUGGUGUAGCGGUGGAAUGCGUAGAGAUCAGGAAGAAUACCAAUGGCGAAGGCAGGUUACCAGCAGAUGACUGACGCUGAGGUGCGAAGGUGCGGGGAGCAAACAGGAUUAGAUACCCUGGUA
rnacentral:rRNA from 1 species